rnacentral:lncRNA from 1 species
GGUCAGGAGGCUGAGCAUCCCUUUGGUGCCAUGCAGAGACUUCCAGCCAUGGAACAACCAUUUGGUGAAGAGUAGACUUUGAGUCAUGGAGCUUUUGCAGGUCCACGGAACUAGGAGGCAUCUAAGGAAGACAAGCAGGCACUUCAGUCAAACUUGUGAUGAGAGAAGAAGAGGCACAACUCUUGGAGAUUAAGAGAAUUUGGAAAGUGAAAGAAAUCCAAAUAGGUACUCAUUGGACCCUCAGUGUAUCAGAUUCUGGUGAAGACCUGGCAGCCUUGGAUCUUAGAGAUGACAGGACACAAAGAGGGAAGUCCACAGAGGUCCUUCAAAGGACUUAGGCUUUCAAAGGUGGCAGCAAAGAUCUGUUGAAACCUUAAUCCUCAGCAUUCCAGAACACAGCUUCCUCGACUGCCAUCCCAUCUGUAAUUAGUUUGGAUGAAGUCUUCCUGGGAUAGGAUGGUCUGUGGUAUGAUGCCCCAAAGCAUGUCACACAAAAGAAACCACAGAGUGCAUAUUCUAAAGACCCAGAGACAGAGUUCAGGGUGUGAUGAGAUAGAGAAUUCUCCAAGAGAAAGAAUUGUUCAUUUAUUAUCCCCAGGUAGCUGGAAUAUAGUGGACACUCAGCAAACACUUGCUUCAUAUUACUUAAUAAUGAAUGAACACCAAGUGUAUUCUGUUGGCUAA